UUAGACCAUCUCCAUUAGUGUAACUCAUGUUGAAGUUUUAAAGAUUAUUUUAUUAAUUUUUUUUGGGAGAUAUGAAUAGUUUAGAGACACUUGUGUUAUUCAGCUUCAUUAGUGAACCCAUAUAAGGUUCAUAUCCAUACCGAGUCCGACUCAGUGAACUAAGAACUAGUGGCCGAUCAAAUCUCAGUCGUCCUUGAUCGCUGUGAUGUUCCCUUUUAAGAGAUGCCUCUCAGCCGUAUCGGAGACGUUUUCGCGGCGAAGACUAUUUCUUCCGCUGGUGUAAAUGAAUCAACCAAAUCCCUUGCACGAGGCGCUUUGUCGUCGGAACUCCGAGAUUACAGAGACGAUUCUCCGGCACCACCGUUGAUCUGCGUGGUGCAAAUGGAGAGGGAGACUGCCUCACCUGAUCGCCAUCCUCCGCCGCAUGAGAGAUUUCUACAUGGAGAUCUCUUUUCAUUUCGAUGGGUUCAAAUUCUGCAGCCGCAGAAGAAGAAAUGAGUUUUAGAAAAAAAACAAUUAAAACAUUAAAAAAGAGAACCACUCACCUUCCUCCACGUGGCGUAAGAGACUGUCUCCUGCACCCCUUCAGUAAGGAUUGAUCCGCCGAAUUUUUUGGAUUUUAAAUUUAAUUUAAAUCGAUUUUGCAUAUGAAACUGUGCCGUUUUUGGGUUAGGAGACCCUGAUGGAGGUGGUCUUAGUUGGUCGUUGGUGCAAUACACGUAUGACGUAAGCUUUAUCUUUUGUCCUUAAAAGGGGACUAUAUAAAUGAUGUAAUCUGUGCCGUUGCGUUGGAUUAAACGAAUCCCGACCGUUGGUUAUUUCCUUUCUUUAAUGGUAAAGGUCAGAUUUCAUAGACCCGGCCGAGAGGAGCUGGGAAUUAGCUCAGAUUUGAGACAGAAAGGUAAAGGUCAAAGCGCGGUGACUUAUCGGAUCUGAGAAGGUAUGAUUUCGACUCCAUAGAAUUUUGAGGAUUGGUUAGAGUUCUCUUGGAUUCAAUUGUUUAUCUAUAGGAGGUGUUUCUUUUCGAGAAUGGAUUUUUAGUGAUCUACGAUUACCGCACAAAAUUGACGUUGUUACGAUGUGAUUUUUCUGGGUUUUGUCUUCUCGCCUCAGUGAAAUGUUGAUUCAAUUGGUCUUUCAGUUUUUCGAUUGAUUGAAAAAGGUUAUAACUUUGAUGGCUAAUUUCUUCUGUUGAGUGAGAGAGAAUUGCUAAUUUUCAUUUGGCGAAGACGAACAAUUCAGAGUUCAUAUAGAACCUGUUACUAUGGUAUCAAUUAAGAAGAUUGGUGUCCUAAUACUAUGGAUUAGGUCCUAAAAGAGCCCCUUGAUCAACUCAAAGAUUGUGUUUUUGUUAUAUCAGGUUAAAGAUGCCUCGUUAUGACGAUCGUCACGGAAGCACACGACUCUAUGUUGGCCACCUUUCCUCUCGAACACGGACGCGUGAUGUUGAACGGCUCUUUAGCAAAUAUGGAAGGUAAUCUAUAUGUUUUCACUUAGCUUGAAACAUUUUUUCCGAUCUGGAUUUUAUUGGAUGUUUAUGUUCUCUCUCGAGACUAUGUUUGAAGCUACUGGUAUUUGAAGUAUAUCCAAUCAAUAUGAUUUUGUUUUCUAGCUUUUUCGAGUGCACAUGGUAAACUAAAGCUAGCUUUUUGUUGGGACACAAAUUCUUUACUUUCUGAAUUAAAAUCUUCAAUUCAACCUUCUCGCUCGUGACAACCUUCCAAAAUCAUAUAUAGGUGGCCAAAACUGUAGCAUAAUUUUUGACCUGAGUAAUGUUGUUGAAGGUUUUCUUGGCUAUUGCCUGACCUGGAGGUGUUUAUGGUGAGAGAAUCGGUCUCCUUGGUGGAAAUUCUCUGAUGGUGUAAAAAAGGGCUUUUGGCGGUUCUCUGUUUGUUGUGUGUUGUUGCGUAUUUUAUUGGUGAAACUGGCUACAAAAUCUCAAAAAAUCUGGUGUUUUGUUCGACUGUGAUGGUGAAGUAGCACUACUUAGAAAAGUAAUGAUGAUGAUGGCCUUACUGUUUCUGCCAAACAAUUUCCGCAGAGUACGAGAUGUGGAUAUGAAGCGUGACUUUGCCUUUGUCGUAAGCAAUUCCGUUUCUUAACCUCUUCUUUUCUUUUUGUCCAAAGCCUAUUAGUAUGUAACCUUAACCUCCCAUGGAUAUCUCUUUCCUUGGUCGUCUCUGUUUUUUCACCUUUUGAUAACAGGAUUUUAGCGAUCCCCGAGAUGCUGAUGAUGCAAGGUACCGCUUAGAUGGAAGGGACUUUGACGGAAGCCGUAUAGUUGUGGAGUUUGCAAAAGGGGUAAUGCUAAUUAAUACAUGUUUUGGUUACAUCAAUUAUGAACAAGUUUAAAAAAUGUUUUUUUUUCCUUCCAUGUAGACACCUCGUGGUUCUGGUUCUGGUUCCCGAGAAAUAUCUUCAAGCAGAGGGCCUCCUCCAGGAAGUGGGCGUUGCUUCAACUGCGGUCUCGAUGGACACUGGGCUAGAGAUUGCACUGCUGGUGACUGGAAGAACAAAUGCUAUCGAUGUGGUGAUAGAGGUCACAUAGAGAGGAAUUGCAAGAACAGUCCUAAGAAGCAAAAGUACUCACUUUUCUGCCCUUGUAGCAUUCUUCUUAUUCUUUUUUUUUUUGGUCUUCUGAUCGUCUUCUUAUUAUUCAGGCGGGACCAAAGCUACUCUAGGUCACCAGUUAGAUCUCGAUCUCGAUCUCCUCCUCGUCGUAGGAGAAACCGUAGCAGAAGCAGAAGCAGAAGCAGAAGCAGAAGCAGAAGCAGAAGCUACAGGUAUUCCAACACAUUAACAGCAAUAUUAUUUUCCAACGACGCAACAGUUGUUUACUUUGUAUCUAUUUUUUCUGAAUCUGGUUCCCUAGUCGCUCAAGAUCCCCAGUGAGGACUGAAAAGGAACGGACUUCUGAACCAGCUGUGAGGAGCAUAAGCCCUGACUCUCCUCCACUCAAAGAUAGAAAUCAUAGCCUAACUCCCAAUGGAAACAGCCCGAUGCCUGAGAACAACGGUCUAAGCCCGAAAGGUCAAGAUAACGGCGAUGCAACCAAUGGACAUGACCACAGUCCCAGAGACGAACGCAGUCCCUGAGAAGAUUCACAAAGAGUGAAGAAACUCUUCGAACAAUUUAAUGAACUUGCGUUUUUGUAAGACUUGUAAUGGUUUCCUUGCAGACCUGUGUGGAAUUUUUGUGUGUGUUUGAAGACUUCCCCUGUUUUUUAAUAAUAAUUAAUAUGUAGCAAAAAUACACACAUCAGUUUGCUUCUAUUUCCGACAACAAAUAAUUGUAUUUUCAAAAAGCUUCUCGUUUUGAACAUCUUCACAAAUUGGGAUCUUAUCUUGAGGAAACUUUCUGUUUAAUUUUGCGACAAAAAAAUGCUUCCUUCUCUUGCUUUAUCCACGGCACCAAUGACCUUGACGAUUAUCUCUGCCACGAGAAGGUCCCAAGUUUCGCAACUUAAAGCAAAGAAAACCAAACCGGAGAACAAGCGGCCAACGCCGACGUCGACGAGCGGUUUCUCAGGCAAAACAGCAAAGGAAUUGACGUGGCAGUGCGUAGAAGGUUGUGGAGCUUGCUGUAAGCUUGCCAAGGACUUCGCUUUCGCCACCCCUGACGAAAUCUUCGACAACCCUGACGAUGUUGAGGUUUGUUUGUUUUCACCCACCACCUGCUCGACGAAAUUCCUCUGUCGGUUUAUGUUUUUUUUAUUCCUUUUCAUCUUUUAUGCAUAAUCUAGCUGUAUCGGAGCAUGGUCGGAAAUGAUGGAUGGUGCAUGAACUACAACAAAGCUACACGCAAAUGCUCGAUUUAUGCUGGUAAAUUUGUUAGCAUAUUCUUCUCUCUGUUACAUUUCAACUGCUGAACAUUUUCUACUUAAACACUCCUUGUGAAUCGAUCAGAUUUUGUUAUGUUUUGAAUUUGAACGUCUUCUUCUUUUACUGACUUCAGAUCGUCCAUAUUUCUGCCGGGUUGAGCCAGAGGUUUUCCACACUCUCUACGGGAUCGAAGAAAAGAAAUUCAACAAGGAAGCUUGCAGGUAACAUCAAUCUUUCUCUCUGGGUUUUAUCAUUUUCACCUACAAGAGCCUAUUAUUCCCCUUUCACAAGCUCUCACCAUGAGAGUGCUGAAACCAAAUCAAAUACAUAUCCGAAUCUUAUAAGAAUCUUUUAAAUUUAGCUGUAUAAACUUGUUAACAUAGAAUGUGAGAAGAAACUGAUUGUUCUCUUAAUACGUUUCCAGCUGCUGCAUUGAUACCAUUAAGACGAUAUAUGGUUCGGAUUCCAAAGAACUAGAUGAUUUCAACCGUGCAAUCAGAAGUAGUCCGAGCUCGAGUAAAUAGCCAGACGAACUCGAAGACAGGUAUUAAUUCAGUUCUUUUCUUGCUAGUAAAUACCUUAAAAGUUCCCUCAAUGCACUUGUGGAAUACAAUGUGUUGUACAAAUAGCCUUAGUAGUAGUGAAACAUUUUUGUAUUAUUUUGACUGAUUUCUAAAUUAUGGGGAAGAGAAACAAAUACCAGAAAAAAAAAAAACAGAUGGCAAAAGUACUGAGAUUUCCUACUGUCAAUCUUCUUCCCUAACAAAGCUGCAAAAUUUAUGAAACACCAAAAUCUCUGUGCAAAAAAACGUGGACAAAACCAUGUCAUAUCACAGGUUCCAGUCCAAGUUCAUCUUCAGUUUCAUCACUUUCCUCAAACAGCUUCAUAAACCGAGCUUGAUCUCGUUGCAGCUUCAUCCUCUUAGAGUGUCUAAACACAAAAACGCCUCCAACCACAACAAGAGCUGCGCACAAGACGCCUGCCACAAUCGCUAUCGCAACUGUUGACCCAUUAUCUCCUUCCUCUUUUGAACUAGAACUCGUCUUUGCUUCGGCGGAUACUACAUUUUGGAUUCAUUCUAUUUUAAUUCUGAUCAUCACGUCGUUUCUUUUGACAGGAAACACAAAUGCAGGAAUUAGUUUUUACUCACCUGAUUCGAGCUUGGCACAACCGUGGCAGACAAAAGUAGCAUUCAUCUCCUUUUCCUUAAAGUGCAUAUAGAUUUGGCUAGCAGAGAAAUCAGAAGGACAAAGCUCCCAUUCAUCAAACUCUUUGGCUGAUACGAGGCUGCCUUGCUCAUAGAUUCCGCAUCUCUUACACUUUUCGCCACUGAUUUCAGUCAUCGGCUGUAAUAAACAAGUAGAGAGAAGAAAACAUCUAAGUUCUUACAAUCUUGAUUUAUUAAUAGAUGGGUAGUAAAUACUAAUAAGCAGAUGUAAAAGAGAACAGGGACGAGCCUGCCAUGAUUCUUGGCCGCGGAAAGUGUACAAGAUACCAGAUUUGGUAACAUCGGGAAGAACAGUUUUGUUCUCUCCUUUGCAUUGAAAGUAGACUGUGUGUUUGAGUUUGAACCAGUCAUGCUUCGUGAAUAUCUCAAUGGAGUCUAGUGUGAUGAAUUGUGCUCUCACAAUUCCUGCAAUUUUGCAGGCACAAUCAAAAGUUUAGUAUGAUUGGUUUUGACCAUAUUCUUAAAGUCGAUAUGUCCGAGUGGUUAAGGAGAUAGACUCGAAAUCUGUUGGGCUUUGCCUGCGCAGGUUCGAAUUCUGCUGUCGACGUUAUUGUUACAUUACUGAAAAUUUUCGAUCAAAUUGAAUUGAAAUUUUUAUAGAUUCUUUGAAAUCCUUUUUAUGUGUGUACGUAUUUUUCCUCAUGGAAAUCUAUUCUGCACAAAUCGAUCUAUGGAAACAAAGAAAUAAUGAAGACAUACGAUUCUUGAGCGGAUAAAAAUUUGGUAAACGAAAGAAGCUGUUUUGUUUCCCGGGAAAAUUAGCUGUGUACGUUACCUGGAAUCAAGAUGUGAGUGAUUGACCAGAAAAGAAGAUUCCUCCAGAUCAACGAAUUUCGAUCCGACAUUUUUAUUAACUGUUUUUUUUUUCUGUAUUAAUUUUCGAUUGAUUCUCCCUUUUAUUUUCUGCGAAUGAAGCAGAGGAGGAAGACGAAAGUUUGAGAGAAAAAGAGGGAGAGAGAUCCACAGUGACACGUGUGUCUCACGCAUAAUACCCUCUGAUCACACUCCCUCUUGAAUUGCACAUUCAAUACACACCAAUUUGUAACGUUCGUAUGAAAAAUCGACAGAGCCAAAUAAAUAUGAUCUUUUACAUUUCACAAGUCAAAACAACUGAAUUACACAUAUAUUACUACUGAAUAUUAUUAGCUUUGUUAGAGUUGUAAGUUUUUAUCGAAUUUUGUUAAGUUAAAAAUUUGAACAAAAUCAGCUUACAUAUGUUCUGUAUGGCCGUUUUCUUUUCAACAAAAUUAAGAAAAACAAGGAAAAAAAAAACUGAAAACGAACAGAUGAGACAAUCUGUCAAAGCUUGUCAGAAAAUGGCAAAUCACUAACCGAAUAAUGAAUGUCUCAAAAGUAAAAAAGAAAGACCUGAGAAACAGAGAGGUGGAGAAUGAGAGACACGAAGACGACAAAGAGAGAUGUCGUCUUCGUUAUAUCAUCCCUGUUUUCUCUUCAUCUCCUCUCUCCUCUUCCUAGUCCUUAUAUUCUCCGGCGAUGUUCCCUCCGCCGCCGGAACUUUAUCGCCGGGCGCACCCAAAUCCUCCGCUCGUGCGAUGAACAGAGUUAGAAGGAAUAUGAAAUCGACGGAGUUCUUAAACGAGCACAACACAGCGCGUGCAGCUGCGGGCGCGCCGAAUCUAAAAUGGGAUCAAGGCCUGGCCCGUUUCGCUUCUAAUUGGGCCAAGCAACGUAAAUCAGAUUGUAAAAUGACCCAUUCUGGUGGGCCUUACGGAGAGAAUAUUUUCUGGUACCGGAGGAGUGAGAAUUGGUCGCCAAAGAGAGUGGUUGCGAAAUGGGUGGCGGAAAGUUUGAACUACGAUCGGAAUACUAACACGUGUGCGUCUGGCCAGAUGUGCGGUCAUUAUACGCAGAUCGUUUGGCGUACAACCACAGCCGUUGGAUGCGCACGUGCGAAGUGCAACAACAACCGUGGAUUCCUAGUGGUCUGCGAGUAUUCUCCUGGUGGAAAUUACGAAGGCGAAAGUCCUUUUGAUUUGCCUAAAUAAUAAUCCAAAUUAUACAAGAUUCACGUUGUUUUUUUUUCUCUAAUUGUUCCUCCAAUUCAAGUGAAACGUUAAGUUUUGUUUUUCUUUUUUGUUCUCAAUAAGGAAAAUUUGAGUCUUAUUAUGUGUUGAAGUACUGUUUUUUUUUUCGUUAAUUUUCUGCGAAUGUACGUAACGUGGAUCGUAUUUUUGUUUAGAUAAUAGACUUGGGCCUAGAUCUCAGUCUGAAAAUAAUUAAUUAUCAUACGGGCUUUUCUUUUUAUUUUUCAACUAAAUUAAAACGCCGUCGUUUAAUAAUUAAAUGUGGCUAAUGUUCGAAUCUUCGUGUUCGUCACUGAGACUCUGUAGAGAAAAACCCUAACAUUUUCCGGUGAGAGAUGAGUAUCAUCCUUAGGGCAAUCAGAUCGAGUUUGAGUCUCCGGCCAUUGGAUCAGGUCAGUCGUAAAUCUCUUCCAUUUAUUCAGGAGUCUAGGAAAUGUCUAUCUACCGUCACAGAGCAGCCUCCUUUCUCUCCGUUACCACCGUCUCCGGGAGCUUCUCCGAUCGACGGAUUAAACAGGCCGUCGGAAGAAGGUUGUGUUAUUAGUCUUCGCGAUCAUUUCUUCAGUUUGUGGGGCAAAAAUCUUAGAUCACAGCUGCAGAGUUUUAUAUGUUACUGAAACUAAUGAUAUGGCAAAAAUGAAAAUAUUGGUUUUGAGUUUACUCGCGCAGGAUUUUGUGUAAAAAUGGAAUUUUUUUUAUGGUUUAGAGUGUCGAAGGAUUCUGGAUUUUUAUGGUUUUUGGACUCGAGCUCAUUUUGAAGAUGAAUCAAUGAUUGUCUUGUCUUCUUUAUUUUUUGGAACGCGAAUAAGAAAGGAUUUAUUUUUUUUGGUCCUUGAUUGUAAAUUUUGUUCUUUCAGGGAGGUUGUAUGGGAAAUUUUCAGGCGUCUCAAAACAUACGCUUAAGACUGAUGUUAUGAACAUACUUGAGGGAUGCAAUGUGACACCAGAUGAUCUCAAAUUCAGCUAUAUGCGUGGUGGAAACUUAAAUCCUGCAGCAGUGUGAGUAUUAGUUUAAUCAUUGUUACAAUUUAUGUGAAUAUUAGCUUAAUUAUUGUUACAAUUUGUGUUUUCGGAAGCAUGAAUUUCGAUUCCAAACUAACACAUUUCAAUCCUACGUUGGUAAUUUCAGUUAUGUGCAAUUCCCUUCCCGUUCCUCAUAUGAUAGCGCAAUGGGGACAAUCGCGAAGAAGGGAAGGCUAUAUAGAUUAGAAAGGGUAAUCCAUUUACAAACUAUAGAGUCCAUAUUUAUGUGCACCUGACUAAUUUAUCCUGAGUUGAUUCCUUGUCAAUGGAUUAGGCUACUCGUUCUCAGUGGGAUCCCAUUGUUCCUUACGACGGGAAAGUGGUAAGCUAUAUAUUCUGCGUCUCCUUAUUGUGUUAUCAAGGUUCUUUAUUCAGACGAUUGGUCUGAGCUAAACUAAUGAGAUUUGAUAUUGUUUAGAUUGCACUACAUGGGCUUCCGCGGAAUGUUGUAAUAGAUGACAUAGACAGGUUCUUAUCCGGCUGUCUCUAUUAUCCUGGAUCCAUCCAGUUCCUCACAAUGUGAGUAAUUUUCGGUUUACUAACUUUUAUCUUUCUUACCGUCUUUGGCUUUUGCUCGAUCGUUUAGUUAGCUAUUAGUACUACAUGUGACUUGUUUUCAUCUUGUUUUGAUUCAUCAUAACUAGGCAACUCUGUGCUCUAUUGUGUUGUGAAGUCAUUUAUGGAUUACUGAUAAAAUAAGGACAUGAAAACUAUUUUAAUGCCUUCUUUGACCAUGCAGCCAAGGACUCGGAAGGCCUAAGAGGGUGGCAUUGGUGCGUUUCACAUCACAGACACAGGCAAUGAACGCAUACAUUACAAAGAACCGUAACUUCCUUCUCAACAACCGAAUCACGUUGCAAGUUCUGCAGUAAUUUCUUAGUUCCCUCUCCA
rnacentral:lncRNA from 1 species